rnacentral:rRNA from 1 species
UGCCAGACUCCUACGGGAGGCAGCAGUGGGGGAUAUUGGACAAUGGGGGGAACCCUGAUCCAGCGACGCCGCGUGAGUGAAGAAGUCUUUCGGUAUGUAAAGCUCUGUCAGCAGGGAAGAAAGAAAUGACGGUACCUGACCAAGAGGCCCCGGCUAACUACGUGCCAGCAGCCGCGGUAAUACGUAGGGGGCAAGCGUUAUCCGGAAUUACUGGGUGUAAAGGGAGCGUAGACGGUGAAGUAAGUCUGGAGUGAAAGGCGGGGGCCCAACCCCCGGACUGCUCUGGAAACUAUUUGACCGGAGUGCAGGAGAGGUAAGCGGAAUUCCUAGUGUAGCGGUGAAAUGCGUAGAUAUUAGGAGGAACACCAGUGGCGAAGGCGGCUUACUGGACUGUAACUGACGUUGAGGCUCGAAAGCGUGGGGAGCAAACAGGAUUAGAUACCCGCGUA